UGUGAACACAGGAUGUGAUUAUAACAUCAUAACCACAAAUUAAUGGAUGGAUGGAAUCAACACACAUAAACAAACAUAUAUAAAUAUUAAAAAUAAUAGUCAGAAAUCAUGCUUGCGCACACACCAUAAUGACUGUCACCAAAAUGUUUUAUGAGAUAGAUAGAUAGAUAGAUAGAUAAAGACAGAGAUAGAUAGAUAGAUAGAUAGAUAAAGACAGAGAGGAUAGAUAGAUAGAUAGAUAAAGACAGAGAGGAUAGAUAGAUAGAUAGAUAGAUAGACAGACAGACAGACAGAUAGAUAGAUAGAUAGAUAGAUAGAUAGAUAGAUAAAGACAGAGGAUAGAUAGAUAGAUAGAUAGAUAGAUAGAUAAAGACAGAGAGGAUAGAUAGAUAGAUAGAUAGAUAGAUAGAUAGAUAAAGACAGAGAGGAAAGAUAGAUAGAUAGAUAGAUAGAUAGAUAAAGACAGAGAGGAUAGAUAGAUAGAUAGAUAGAUAGAUAGAUAGACAGACAGAUAUAUAGAUAGAUAGAUAGAUAGAUAGAUAGAUAAAGACAGAGAGGAUAGAUAGAUAGAUAAAGACAGAGAGGAUAGAUAGAUAGAUAGAUAGAUAGAUAGAUAGAUAGAUAGA